rnacentral:rRNA from 1 species
AUACGGAGGAUCCGAGCGUUAUCCGGAUUUAUUGGGUUUAAAGGGAGCGCAGGCGGAGAUGCAAGCGUGACGUCAAAUUUCGGGGCUCAACCCCGUCUCGCGUCGCGAACUGCGUCCCUUGGUUGCGGGAAGGGGAGGCGGAACUCGUGGUGUAGCGGUGAAAUGCGUAGAUAUCACGAAGAACUCCGAUCGCGAAGGCAGCCUUCCGGCCCGUCAACGACGCUCAUGCUCGAAGGUGCGGGUAUCAAACAGGAUUAGAUACCCUGGUAGUCCGCACAGUAAACGAUGGACACCCGCGGUUUGGCCUGUAUGGCUGAGCCGCCAAGCGAAAGCGUUAAGUGUCCCACCUGGGGAGUACGCCGGCAACGGUGAAACUCAAAUGAAUUGACGGGG